CUAGUUAUAAAUUAGAGUGUACGCAGUGCAGACUUCAGUCCUAUACGAUCAGCUGAUCAGUGUUUUGUGACCAGUGUACAAUUAGUUCAAUCAAAACAAUUCAAAUUGCGAGAUUUUAAAGGGUUAAACUUGUAAAGGAAUCAGGAUAUCUACGGAAUCUAAGUGAGGAGAAUGAAACUAAAAGUGAAGACCCACCCAAUUACUCAUUGUAUUUUUGAUCUUGACGGUACAAUCCUAGAUACGGAGAAUAUUUACAGGAAGGGAUACAGACGGGUGUGUGAGAAGUAUGGGAAAAGGGAGAAGUUGACCCAAAGCCUUGAAUCUAGACUAGCGGGCCAGUCUGCUAUGCAGGUAACAUAUUGAGGAUACAGGGUUACCCAC